GUCCAACGGAUGAGUGCCAAAUAGGACGAAACACGUCUCUUGGAU
rnacentral:hammerhead_ribozyme from 1 species